GUUGUGUCUCAGAACUUCAGGGUUAAGACCCUUCCUGGGUGAUGGAUAAAGGAAGUCAUUGUCCAGAUGAAAGACUCAUGAACUUGGAGACAGGAAUGAAGCCAUUGAAGCAACUUGGACGUCGGGAAUUCACUGAAGACCAGACUAAAGAGGGGCUUGUUCUAAUAGAAAUUCAUCUAAAAAGUUGGAGAUUCUGUAGAAGAUCUGAUGAAGAGGGCCAAUCACUGAGGAAAAAUGGAUAGCAUCCUAAAACAGUGGGUAGUAAGGGAACCGGUAUGUCUGAUCUUUUAAAGGAAAGA
rnacentral:lncRNA from 1 species